rnacentral:rRNA from 1 species
AUACGAAGUCGGACCUGCCCAGUGAGUUUUAAACGGCCGCGGUACUCUGACCGUGCAAAGGUAGCAUAAUCAUUUGCCUUAUAAUUGAAGGCUGGAAUGAAUGGUUUGACAAGAAUGUAUCUGUCUCCUUUAGAUUGUUUAGAAUUUUAUUUCUGGAUGAAAAAGUUCAGAUUUAAUUAAAAGACAAGAAGACCCUAUCGAGCUUUAGAAAAAUUAAUGGACUUAAUAUAAUUAAUAUUGAUAAAAGAAAAGCUAUUAAAUACUUUGAUUGGGGCAAUCGAGGAGCAACUAAAACCUCCUUUAGUGGUAGUGGCUCACCUGUGUUGAUCCAAGAAUUUUGAUUAAAGGAAUUAGUUACCGUAGGGAUAACAGCAUUAUCUUUUUUAAGAGCCCAUAUCGAAAAAAAGGUUUGUGACCUCGAUGUUGGACCAGAAUAUCCUAAAGAUGCAGAAGUCUUUAAGGGUUGGUCUGUUCGACCAUUAAAAU